rnacentral:lncRNA from 1 species
UUUUCUCUAUCCGUACCCCACCCAUUCUCUCUCUCUGGUUCCACAGCACUCUCUCUCUCUCUCUCUCAUACAUUUAUUUUCGCCCCCAAGCCAACCUCUCCUCUUUUCUCUAUUUUUUUUCUUAUUUUUGACAGAUCUAUUUGGUGACGGUGAAGGGUAUAUAUAGUGGGUUGGUUAUACAAGCGGUGACAACACCAAGUAUGGUGGGUCUGGUUGAGGAGAAUCUCUGGGCGAGGGGCUUGGUUAUGGAAACGGCUAUGGUGGGUGGUGUACCUAGCGGCGACUAUGGCGGCGGUGGGAUGGAGGCGUCUAUCGUGAAUGGCGGCGACUAUGGAGUCGGUCGGUAUGGAGGGUGGUUUUGGAGGCAAUUAGGGUGGUGGUGGUUUCGAUUUUGGGUGGAGGGUGGUUAUGGAGAUAAGUAAGACAAUGGCUGCCGCAGGCGGCACUAUGGUGGUUGUGGUUGUAGAUCUAGGGUUUCGUUUUUUUAUGAGUGUGAAUGCCUAUGAGUAACUACGGCAUACUGUACGUGUCUAUGUGACUGACGGCUAGGGUUUCAAAAGGGAAGUGAGUAUUUUCAAAUUUUGCGUACAAAUGACUAUGGAUGGCUACGAUUACUACGGGUUCCUACGGAUUUCUAUAGGUGACUACGACCGAGAAAAAAAAAAUUAUAAUUUUCAAUAUUAUAGUACACCGGUAUAUUAUAGUAUAUCAGUAUAUCAUAUAUUAUUAACUAAAAUCUGUAAACCAAAUUAAAAAAAAUGAA